rnacentral:rRNA from 1 species
GGGAUAUUGCACAAUGGGGGGAACCCUGAUGCAGCGACGCCGCGUGAGUGAAGAAGUUAUUCGUAAUGUAAAGCUCUAUCAGCAGGGAAGAAGCAGACGGUACCUGACUAAGAAGCACCGGCUAAAUACGUGCCAGCAGCCGCGGUAAUACGUAUGGUGCAAGCGUUAUCCGGAUUUACUGGGUGUAAAGGGAGCGUAGACGGCAUAGCAAGCCAGAUGUGAAAUGUAUGGGCUUAACCCAUAGACUGCAUUUGGAACUGUUAAGCUAGAGUGUCGGAGAGGUAAGUGGAAUUCCUAGUGUAGCGGUGAAAUGCGUAGAUAUUAGGAGGAACACCGGUGGCGAAGGCGGCUUACUGGACGGCAACUGACGUUGAGGCUCGAAAGCGUGGGGAGCAAACA